AGUCGAGCGGAUGAAGAGAGCUUGCUCUCUGAUUCAGCGGCGGACGGGUGAGUAAUGCCUAGGAAUCUGCCUAUUAGUGGGGGACAACGUUGCGAAAGGAACGCUAAUACCGCAUACGUCCUACGGGAGAAGGCAGGGGACCUUCGGGCCUUGCGCUAGUAGAUGAGCCUAGGUCGGAUUAGCUAGUUGGUGAGGUAAUGGCUCACCAAGGCGACGAUCCGUAACUGGUCUGAGAGGAUGAUCAGUCACACUGGAACUGAGACACGGUCCAGACUCCUACGGGAGGCAGCAGUGGGGAAUAUUGGACAAUGGGCGAAAGCCUGAUCCAGCCAUGCCGCGUGUGUGAAGAAGGUCUUCGGAUUGUAAAGCACUUUAAGUUGGGAGGAAGGGCAUUAGCCUAAUACGUUAGUGUUUUGACGUUACCGACAGAAUACGCACCGGCUAACUUCGUGCCAGCAGCCGCGGUAAUACGAAGGGUGCGAGCGUUAAUCGGAAUUACUGGGCGUAAAGCGCGCGUAGGUGGUUUGUUAAGUUGAAUGUGAAAGCCCCGGGCUCUACCUGGGAACUGCA
rnacentral:rRNA from 1 species